CCUACGGGAGGCAGCAGUGGGGAAUAUUGCACAAUGUGGGAAACCCUGAUGCAGCGACGCCGCGUGAGUGAAGAAGUAUCUCGGUAUGUAAAGCUCUAACAGCAGGGAAGAAAAUGACGGUACCUGAAGAAGAAGCCCCGGCUAACUACGUGCCAGCAGCCGCGGUAAUACGGAGGGGGCAAGCGUUAGGCGGAUUUACUGGGUGUAAAGGGGGCGCAGACGGCGGUGCAAGCCGGGAGUGAAAGCCCGGGGCUCAACCCCGGGACUGCUUUGGAAACUGCGUGGCUGGAGUGCAGGAGGGGUAGGUGGAAUUCCUGGUGUAGCGGUGAAAUGCGUAGAUAUCAGGAGGAACACCGGUGGCGAAGGCGGCUUGCUGGACUGUAACUGACGUUGAGGCCCGAAAGCGUGGGGAGCAAACAGGAUUAGAUACCCGGGUAGUC
rnacentral:rRNA from 1 species